GGAAGAGACCCCGCAACCCCUAGCCCAUUCUGGGUCUUGCUUGAGUUAGAGCAGUGCUUUUUCUUUUGUGCAAUCUAAAGCUGCAGAGAAAAAUGUGCCCCUCCCUGCCGGUGCUGGGGGUCUGAUAGCUGUGCUGGUCAGCUCCUGGGUGAGUGGCUGUGGAAGCAGGUGGGGUAGGGAGUUUGGAAGUCACUGGGUGGGACCCCGUGGUGGUGGCCUCCUUAGCACCUGCCUUGUGUCCUGGAUGGCAGGACCUCCGGCCUGAAGUGGAGCAGCCCGGCCAGCAUGGAAGCCCUGAGGGCUAGGCUGCAGGGUCUGGGUGAGCCCAGGUGCCCACGGUGGGAGACGGGGCCACCCCGUGGCCCCACGUCCAUGACGAUCAGAGCUGCAGCACUCUGUCCACUGCACAUCUCUCCCCAUCUGGGUGAGUUCAGCGACUCGCAGGUGCUCCCGGUGACCACAGCCAAGCCCCUCUGCCUGGGCUUGACCGCACCACCGGCCACUGACCCCAGUCUCGACGCCACUGAUGCCAAAAGACAGCUAUCUCCUAGGGUGGCAUCUCCUAGGGCAGCUGAGUCAUGCUGCUUAUUCUCUCUGCCUGUGGCUCAUGUGCGAUGCCAAGGUCCUGGGAGCUGAGGAGAGACGGAAGGAGUGAGGUCUGGCUGCCGGUUUCGGGCGGAGCUUGCUGUGUUGGGACCAGGAAGCCCCUCCCGGGCAGGUUCAGGAAGUCAUACUCUGAUGUGCCGCCGCCCUCCUGGCCCUUCCCUUCCGGGACACUGAGGAGAAGACCAGCCAGGAGCUUAGGCCUGGGUACCAAGGAAACUAGCGCCUUCCCAACUCGGCGGCCACUCGAGCCCAGCCCAGACGAUCUGUGGGCCGGUUGGUGGACUCCAGCUCUCCCGAGAGCUCUUGUUCUCUGGACUUGGAAGUCCUGACUGCUUUGGCUUCUGUGAUUAUGUUGUGGUGAUGUGUAGUCAGUGUACCAAUAUGUUCACAACUUAGGAUCAUGGUAAUAGAGUGUGCUUUGGUUUUUUAGCUGUUCAGAAAAAAGUAACUUAAAUUCCAAAUAUAAGAUUAAAGUGAAUUUUCUAA